AGUGAACGCUGGCGGUAGGCCUAACACAUGCCAGUCGAACGGCAGCACAGUAAGAGCUUGCUCUUACGGGUGGCGAGUGGCGGACGGGUGAGGAAUACAUCGGAAUCUACUUUUUCGUGGGGGAUAACGUAGGGAAACUUACGCUAAUACCGCAUACGACCUACGGGUGAAAGCAGGGGAUCUUCGGACCUUGCGCGAUUGAAUGAGCCGAUGUCGGAUUAGCUAGUUGGCGGGGUAAAGGCCCACCAAGGCGACGAUCCGUAGCUGGUCUGAGAGGAUGAUCAGCCACACUGGAACUGAGACACGGUCCAGACUCCUACGGGAGGCAGCAGUGGGGAAUAUUGGACAAUGGGCGCAAGCCUGAUCCAGCCAUACCGCGUGGGUGAAGAAGGCCUUCGAGUUGUAAAGCCCUUUUGUUGGGAAAGAAAAGCAGCAGGUUAAUACCCCGCUGUUCUGACGGUACCCAAAGAAUAAGCACCGGCUAACUUCGUG
rnacentral:rRNA from 1 species